rnacentral:rRNA from 1 species
CCUACGGGAGGCAGCAGUGAGGAAUAUUGGUCAAUGGACGAGAGUCUGAACCAGCCAAGUAGCGUGAAGGAUGACUGCCCUAUGGGUUGUAAACUUCUUUUAUAUGGGAAUAAACCAGGGUAUGCAUACCCUCUUUUAUGUACCAUAUGAAUAAGGAUCGGCUAACUCCGUGCCAUCAGCCGCGGUAAUACGGAGGAUCCGAGCGUUAUCCGGAUUUAUUGGGUUUAAAGUGAGCGUAGGUGGAUUGUUAAGUCAGUUGUGAAAGUUUGCGGCUCAACCGUAAAAUUGCAGUUGAAACUGGCAGUCUGGAGUACAGUAGAGGGGGGCGGAAUUCGGGGUGUAGCGGUGAAAUGCUUAGAUAUCACGAAGAAUUCCGAUGGCGAAGGCAGCUCACUGGACUGCAACUGACACUGAUGUGCGAAAGUGUGGGUAGCAAACAGGAUUAGAUACCCUUGUAGUC